rnacentral:lncRNA from 13 species
GGGGACCCCAGUGCAGGGACCCCAGCACAGAUGGGGACCCCAGGUCAGGGCUGCUUGGAAAGUGGAACUCAAUGACAGAGAACGGCCCCUACACUAACGUCACUCGUCCUCUGGCAAAGGGGGGUCUUUUGGGGACUUGGAACACGAUCCCACCCUGCAAACCUUGCCUUUCUUGCCUUUAACACAACAACACAACAGCUCGCCCGCCUUGCAGACAGCAGGAUCCGGGCUGAGCCCUCAGGGCCAGCUGCGGCGACAUUGCGUGUUUUUGUCUUUUUGUGGUUUCUCCCUGGGGUUAGGCAAUGUUUCAUUUCUUGGUACAAGGAGCCACUGAGCAGGCCUCUCCCUGAGGUGUCAACAGUGUCAUCAGGGGAGGGGGCGGGGGCGGGGGAGUUGGGCAGGGGUCGUGGAGGUCCCUCAAAAUAAGGGAGAACUGGGGGUCCCCCUCAGAUACCUCCACAUGUCACACUUUCCUGCAGGACUGGAUUUGGGCUAAAGCAAGCAGUGCCAGUUCCUGCCCUUGGCAACACCCGGCCUCACCAAGCUCUGCCAGCUCUAAAGCCUCUAGGAUUUCAGACAAAUCCUCAAACAUAAACACAGAGCACUAUGGAUCCUCUCAAGAAAAGCAAGGCGCGGGCCCCACCAGUUUGGUUAUGAGAGAGAUUUCAUUAGCUUUGCUGUAUUUGGCUUUUGUGUCACCGGCCCAGUUAUCGCCUUCUGGAAUCUCCCUUCCUCCUUGUAAACUCCGGCUGAGUUUUAAGGCUCAGAAGUUCUCAGGGAAGACCUGGAAGUUGGUUUUGUUUUUUUUUUUUUUUUCAUCAACUAGUCCUUCUUUUAUGUCCGUUCGUGGCCAGACGUAGUCUGCGGCUUCACGUGGCAACGUCUGAUUAAGUGAUGCCCAGCCUAUCCUGGGGCCACAGACAGAUAAUUGCAGUGCUUAAUUUUUUCAUUUGAUGAAUAAUGAAAGCUUUGCUCAUUUUGUGUGUGUGGGAAAGAGACAACUUUAAUACAUUGGAACUUGAAAACGGCUUUUGAGUAUUGCUGUCCUGAGACACUGUAACACAGCCCUCAAAACAGAACAGGCGCUUGGUGCCAAAUGGGGCAGGGUGUGGGAGGGAGGGACUCCCUGCCGGUCUUUGAUGUAAUGUAAUGCACAUACAUG